rnacentral:rRNA from 1 species
UACGUAGGGGGCAAGCGUUGUCCGGAAUCAUUGGGCGUAAAGAGCGCGUAGGCGGUCCGGUAAGUCGGUUGUGAAAACUGGGGGCUCAACCCUCAGAGGCCGACCGAUACUGUCGGGCUAGAGUCCGGAAGAGGCGAGUGGAAUUCCUGGUGUAGCGGUGAAAUGCGCAGAUAUCGGGAAGAACACCCGUGGCGAAGGCGGUUCUCUGGGACGGUACUGACGCUGAGACGCGAAAGCGUGGGGAGCGAACAGG